rnacentral:sRNA from 1 species
CUUCUUCGAUCUGCUGCGGGCAGAUGAAAUGCACGUGGGAGUCGAUGCCGCCGGCAGUGAGGAUCAUGCCUUCUCCGGCGAUCACUUCGGUGCUGGCGCCGAUGGCCAUGGUUACGCCCGGCUGGAUAUCCGGGUUGCCGGCUUUGCCGAUCGCGUGAAUGCGGCCAUUCUUCAGGCCGACGUCGGCCUUGACGAUGCCCCAGUGGUCAAUGAUCAGCGCGUUGGUGAUCAGCGUGUCCACGACCUCAUGGGCGAGCAACUGGCUUUGGCCCUGGCCGUCGCGGAUG